AUGAUCGCUUGCAGAUCAAUGUACAUUGCAGGAAGUCUCGUUCAUCGCAGUUUUGACUUGAUCAUUACCCUGUGGCAAGUUCUCCACACCUUUCUGACAACCAUCUGCACCCCCCCAGCAGUUUCCUUUGAGCAGUGCCUCCAUGAUGCGACCACCUCACACCUCCCUCUGGCCAUCAGUGGUGCAGAGACCAUGCACCAAGCAAUGCUCAUUCUCCAGAUGUGCUCAGAGGUGGCCGGGCAGCCAAGGAGCAGACAUCCCUGCACUGACCCUGCACUGGCAGCAUCCUGGUGGCCUGGACCGAGGGAAGUAAGCAGGCAAUAAGAGCAGCCGGCACUUUGAAAAAGUGAUGGAAGAUGAAACUCCAGUAAGCGAUCCUGCAUCUCAACAGAGUUGUCAGCAAAUGACUUCUGUCCCAAUGUUUUGGUGCCAUUUUUCCUGAGCUGCCUGUGUAAUCGAUGGUGAAUCUUUACAUGCCCAGAGUGAGUUACUCAAAUCCAAAGCCGUUCUGGAAAUGGUCUGUCUGACAGCCUUUUUAUUGGCAAAGAAGCUAUUUAAAUGAGAAACCUGUGUGAGAGAUGAACUGGCUGCCCCGUGCGAUGGCAAGCGGAAGCUGAUGAAUUCUGCUCGGGCAACCAGGUGACCUUUCUGCUUUCCACUCUAAUUACUUUCCUGUCAGAUGUUCAAUUAGAGUGACAGGGUCCCAAAUUCCCAACGAUCUCUGUUUUGUCUUAGAAGAUUAAAGGGUGGCAACUAUUUUCAAUAUGAUUAUCAUCAUUAUCUCUGGGAGAUUUUAUACUUCUGAAGUCAAAGUCAUAAUAGCCCAGCUCACUGCAAUUAUUUGCAAAUUGCCUUAAUGUAUUUUCCAGAAGCUUUUCCUGCACUUUGUAAUUUAUUUAUUUGCUAAGCCAAUAGCACAUUAAAAUGCUAAAAUGUCUAUGAACCUAUAUGAAGCCUGGCUGAUGGUAACUUGCAUGGACUGUGCCAGCAUCCUAUUUACCCACCAGUAAUCUUAUACAUGUUUUGUUAAAAUGCCUUUAUGGAUGUUCCUUUAAGUAAAAUACCUUGAAGAAUUCCUCUUUUUUUUUUUUUCUUUUUUUUCUUUUUUUUUUUCUUUUUUUUUUUUUUCUGUUUGGAGAUGUUGCAGUAGUUCUCUAUUGUGGUAGAAAUGUUUGUGAAAUUAUUUGUACAAACCAGUAUAGGAAAAUACCAACAGACAGAAAACAUGGUCAGCUUCUCAAAAUAUGCCUUUUCUCUGGAAGCAUGUUUCUGAAGUGGGAGACUGACCCACCAAGGAAUGGAAACAGCAGUUUACUGGGAACCACACAGUGGGGCUCCAUUUUCUGUUGCAGGAACAAGCAGGUCUAAGAGCUACUGGGGUGUUUUUGGGUGCGCUCACUGAAUGCACUUUUUAUUCUCAAUGGGGAGUAGAGGAUGGAGAGAUGAUGUGCCCUGUGUAUUAAAUUGAAACUAACCCAAAUAGCUUAUAAAACACGCUCAGCUAAUUAUUCAGGAGUAAUUUACAGACCAAGAGUUACAUUGCAAUAAUUGUGAAUAAUGACUGAACCACAAAAAAAUGGUAGAUGGCUUGCAGGCAUUUUGUGAACAGAAAAUGAGGCUAAAUUCAUUGAAUAAAUUAAUUGCUAUGGAUUAUUCUUUCA
rnacentral:lncRNA from 1 species